rnacentral:rRNA from 1 species
AUUAGAUAUGUUCUUGAAAAUUAAAAAAUUUGGCGGUAUUUUAGUCUUUUCAGAGGAACCUGUCCUGUAAUCGAUAGUCCACGUUUAAAUGUAUUUACUUUUAUAAAUUUGUAUAUCGUCGUAGUUGAGUAUUUUAUCAGAAUUAUUAAUAUUCAAAAUCAGUAAUUUUUGAGUAAAUCAGAUCAAGGUGCAGUAUAUAGGUAAGAUAGAGAUGGGUUACAAUAAAUUUAUUUAUAUGGAUAAUGGGUUGAGAAAUUUGUUUGAAGGUGGAUUUGGAAGUAAUAAAAUUAAAUUAAAUUUUAUGAUUUUGGCUCUAAAAUAUACACAUAUUGCCCGUCGCUUUCAUUUAAGUUGGAAUAAGUCGUAACAAAGUAGAGGUACUGGAAAGUGUUUCUGGUAACAAAUUAGAGCUUGUUAUAAAGCAUUUUAUUUACAUUAAAAAGUUAAUUGUGAAAAUCAGUUUAAUGAAUUUAAAUAUUUAUUUAAGGUUUUUUUGUUUUUAAAAUAUUAAUUGUUUUUAUUAUUAUAAAAAGAAUAAAUUAAUUUUAUUAUAGUUAAUUAGUAUAGUGAUAGAAUAUUACAUUGGUUUAAAUUUUUUAAAGAAGAAUUAAUUUUUUGUACCUUGUGUAUCAGGGUUUAUUAAAUAAUGAUUGAAGAUUUAAUGUUCUCGAAAUUAAAAGAGCUAAGAAAGUAUUAAUUUUAUUGUAGAAUAAAUAUUUAAAAUACUUUUUUGGUAGUGAAACGUUAUUCGUUUUUAAUUAUAUCUAGUUUUUUAAGAAAUGUAUUUAAUGCAGAUUUUAAUUUAAAUUUAUUUAUUUUAUAAAUUAUUUUUAAGUUAAGAUUUUAUAAUUUUGGGGAUGAGCUUGGGAUUAUUGAGUUAUAAAUUAAUUUUUUACUUUAAAGUUAAAUAGAAUCAGAAAUUUUUAUUUUUUAUAGUUUGUUAUAAUUAGGCUUUAUAGUUUUAUUAUUUAUAUUAAUUUUAAAUUUUAUAUUAAAAAAUUUAAUUUAAUUAUGAAAUUGAAGAUAUAAUGAUAAAAUUAGUAUUAUUUAUUUUAAAUUUAUUUCAUAAGAGAUAGGUUAUUUAAAGGAAUUCGGCAAAUAUUUUUUUCACCUGUUUACUAAAAACAUGGCUUUUUGAAUGAUAAUUUAAAGUCAGGCCUGCCCAAUGAUUUUUCAAUGGCUGCAGUAUUUUGACUGUACAAAGGUAGCAUAAUCAUUAGUUUCUUAAUUAGAAGCUGGUAUGAAUGGUUUAAUGAAAAAAAAGCUGUCUUUAUUUAAUUUAAUAAAGAAUUUUAUUUUUUAGUUAAAAAGCUUAAAUUAUUUUAAAAGACGAGAAGACCCUAUAGAGUUUGAUAUUUUUAAAAAUAAUUUUUUUAGGUAUUUUGUUUUAUUGAUUUGGGUAUUUAUUUUGUUGGGGUGACUAGAAAAUUACAUUAAACUUUUCUUUAAUUAAAAAUACUAUUAU